CUAGUCUGAAUCGGUUCGAUUUCUUCCGUUAUGAGACCCAACCGAUCGGUUGGACCUAAAAUCGAAUCGAGCCGAACCAAUAUACACCCCUGCUUCACUCGGUCCUCUCUCGCUUCUGUUCUUUUUCUUCUCGGUCCCUCUCUCGCUUCUCAGAGUCACAAGUGGGUUUCUUAUCGCACCAAAUCCUCCAUCCAGAAGCUCGCCUCGAAAUAUUGUCUCACGGCCACUCGCCAUAACCAUAGUUCCAGCAAACCUUCCCACUGCACGUCCUUAUGUAAUUCCGUGAUUGAAGGACACUGAGAAGUUGAUUAUUUGCACGAUUUGAUCAGAUGGGAGACCCAACAAUUUUGGAUAGAAUGCUUAUUCACCUUCGUGCGACAUGCAAAUACUAUACUGGUUUCCCAAAAGAUCUUGGGCCUUCAAGGGUCAUACAUUUUACAUCUGAACGUGAGUUUGUCCAGCUCCUUCAUGAAGGUUAUCCAGUCGUUGUUGCUUUUACAGUCAGAGGUAAUUACACAAAGCAUCUUGACAAAGUAUUGGAGGAAGCUGCGGUUGAGUUUUAUCCGACUGUGAAAUUUAUGCGUGUUGAGUGCCCAAAGUAUCCUGGUUUCUGCAUUUCACGGCAGAGAAAGGAAUAUCCAUUUAUCGAGAUGUUUCAUAGCCCACAACAAGCAUCUAGCCAGGGAAAGAUUUCUGAUCCUAACAUUACGAAGUACUCGGUGAAGGUUCUACCCUUCAACUAUGACCCCAGUGCCUACGGAUUCAGAGAGUUUUUUAAGCGUCAUGGGAUAUAUGGUCGCUGAAUCAAAAGUAAUACACGGUCAAGAGCGCAAAGCCUCUGUAACUUAUCUGUGAUUUUGAACUGGUUUGUGCUGUACAUGAUGGAUACAAACUCCAUAGGUGUUUAAUCUUUAUGCCCACAUGAAAAGUAGACUCAUACAAGAUACUUCCUGGUUUUCACCCUCGAGUUUGUAUAACUAGGUUGGCAGGAAAGUUAGCCGUAUAUCCUCUAUGUGGUAAUAAUGAUAUCUAAUUUCUUUCCAAGGGGCCAUCUUCAGAACAUUUCAUUUGCCUCUCUUCAGUAUGAAAUUAUUUAUUUGAAGUCAGUGGAUUGUGACUCAGGUUCGGGGCCUUUUAGUACAUGUUUCUUAGUUAUGUAAUUGUUUACUUUGGUAAGAAGAAUAUAUAGUUGUUUUCUU